GUGAAGAAAACCAUCCCAAAAAUUCCACAAAAUUUCUGUCAGUCAAUAAAAAAUUCCCACUCUGGAAAUGCUGAGUGACAUUGCAUAAAACUGCCUUUGGUUCUCGACGUCGCUUCCUAUUUUUCUUACCGAACUUGUCACGUGACAUCGUGAAAUUGCUAAGUAUUUGGUGCAUGGGACUCUCAUUGUAUGGAAGUUCGACAUUUUGCUGUUUUUCCCGAAGUGUGAUUUAUGAUUCAAUUUCACACCAAAUGUCAAAAUAAGAGGACUAGGAUUUUUAUUGCCAAGUGUCAAUUUGGGCACUGUUUAGCACAAACCCUGGUUUAUAUAUAUUUUUUAGUAUACAUGGAUUAUACAAACUUUUCAAUUGGCAAGUCAAAUUGCACAUAAGUUAUAUAUGAUCUUUGACAUUUUUUUGUUUUUAAAUUAUGCAUGACAAUUAACGUUGUCAUUUUAAAGAUACACAUCUGUUACAUACAAACAAGGAAAAUUAUUUGGACAAUGCAUACUCUUUUAUAAGAAAAACAAAUCUUAUAAAAUUUAUAUUUUUUAAUGUGUGUAUCAGACUAUUAUAUGAUAAACUUAACACCAACUAUUUACAUAUAUUGUAGGUCAUAUUUCAUCUAAAGGAGUAAAAAGAAAGUUGUACUCGGAUGAUAAGAGCCAUAACCGUCUUCUCUUAAAUAGCGGAGGAAUUUCUCCUUUAAAAUUUCCAUCCACUUCGAAAAACUCUGAAGCAGUAUUACCUUUAACUCAUCGACAGCUUUCUAUUGGAGCAAAUAAAGGAUCACCUCCACCUUUAGUGUCAGCACCUUCUCAAAGAGUUCCUCCCAUUACGCCUUCUGAUCUAUCCGCGAAAGGUGAAUCGUCUCAAGACAAGAAAAGUGAAGAUUCUAACCAAAGGAGGGUCGUCAUAUUUUCACACGCGCUGCCCAAAGACAAGACGUGCCAGUUCAAAAAAGAUUUUGUUCAAGAAUUUCACGAGUCUGUACUUCAAACUACACAGCAACAAUUAGAACAUAGCAGAUUGCAACACACGCCCCAAGUCC